CCUACGGGAGGCAGCAGUGGGGAAUAUUGGACAAUGGGCGAAAGCCUGAUCCAGCCAUGCCGCGUGUGUGAAGAAGGCCUUCGGGUUGUAAAGCACUUUCAGUGGGGAAGAAAGCCUUGGGGCUAAUACCCUCGAGGAAGGACAUCACCCACAGAAGAAGCACCGGCUAACUCCGUGCCAGCAGCCGCGGUAAUGCGGAGGGUGCGAGCGUUAAUCGGAAUUACUGGGCGUAAAGCGCGCGUAGGCGGUCUGAUAAGCCGGUUGUGAAAGCCCCGGGCUCAACCUGGGAACGGCAUCCGGAACUGUCAGGCUAGAGUGCAGGAGAGGAAGGUAGAAUUCCCGGUGUAGCGGUGAAAUGCGUAGAGAUCGGGAGGAAUACCAGUGGCGAAGGCGGCCUUCUGGACUGACACUGACGCUGAGGUGCGAAAGCGUGGGUAGCAAACAGGAUUAGAUACCCCAGUAGUC
rnacentral:rRNA from 1 species